AAAGUCGUAACAAGGUUUCCGUAGGUGAACCUGCGGAAGGAUCAUUAACAAAUCGUUGUGUGUGUGUGUGUGGUGUGGGUUGGUGAGAAAUUGCCUGCCCGUCCAUACAUGCAUAUAUAUUUACCCGAGCCUGGCAGUGAUGCCGGCUUUGGUCAGGGCGCAAGCCCUGCUCCGGCUGUGCGCAGUGUGCAUUCAUAAUGGAUGGUGCACUGCUGCUGGCCACAUAGACGCUUGUAUGUUUGACAGAGUUUACAGUUGUAAAACUAAAAUGACAACUUUUAACAAUGGAUCUCUUGGCUCUU
rnacentral:misc_RNA from 1 species